CCCAGCCCUGUCUAGCGGCCAACAUUGGCCAAAGCGCUAAGCAUGACCGAUUGAUGUUGACCCUCCAGGAUGUGGAAAUGAGAAGCUACUGUGAGCCAGAUGGGAAUUGGUGGAAACAACUGGAGAAGGCAAGAUCGAUGGACGUUGACCACCCAGACCACAGCUAGGCUAAGGACACUCAUACGAAAUGAUGGACAUUGACCCUCCAGGAUGUGGAAAUGAGCAGCUACAGCCAGACAGGAAUUGGUGGAAACAAGUGGAAAAGACAAGACUGAUGGACAUUGACCCUCCAGGUUGUGGAAAUGAGCAGCUACAGCCAGACAGGAAUUGGUGGAAACAAGUGGGAAAGAUAAGACUGAUGGACAUUGACCCUCCAGGAUGUGGAAAUGAGCAGCUACAGCCAGACAGGAAUUGGUGGAAACAAGUGGAAAA